UUCUUUAAAUACUUGAACAUGGUUAUAACAGCUGUGUUUUAAGCUCCUUGUCUGUUAAUUCCAUCAUCUGUCAUUUUUGCAUCUGUUUUUAUUGACUAACUUUCUUCCUCAUCAUGGUCACAUAUCCUUGCUUCUUCCCAUAUUUAGUAAAGUUUAGUUGGAUGCUGGAUUGUUUUAAUUUAGUAUUUGGAGUGACUGCUUUUGCACUUUCCUUUAAAAGUAUUGGACUUUGUUUUGAUAGUUGAAUUACUUGCAAAUCAGCUUGAUCAUUCUGAGACUUGUUUUUAACUUUUGUUGAAAAGGCUAUGCUACUUCAAGUAUAAUAAAACCUAGUUUUAGUUUUAUCCUACAACUAAGGCAUGUGUUCAAUUUGAAUGUCUCCAACCCUGUGUGAACUCUGAAAAUUGUUCAGCUCCCAAUUUCCCAGUAAUUUUUUUUUUGUUCAGCCUUGCAGUCUCAUCCUACUCAAGUGUGGCUCUGUAUCCGACAACAGUCUUGGAGAUCUCAUGAAGAUUUCUGAAACUUUUGCUCUGCAGGAUACCUUCCUUUGUGGUUAUGUGCCCUGAAAACUCUAGCCUCCACCUCUUCAAUUCAGUGAAACUACUACUCUGCUUGGAUUCCCCUCUUAUACAAUGGUCUACCAAGUGACUGCAAACAGAAAUCUAAGGGAAUUUCAGGAGUCACCUCGUUUAUUUUCCUUUUUUUCAGGGGUUAUAGUAGUACUAUACCACCUGUCAGCCAAUGUGUGAGAAUGGUGGUUUCAUACAUUUUCUCCAAUUCUUUCAUUGUUACAGGAGCCUCCAUUACUUUUCAAACAGUAAUGCAGUUGCAGUUGCCUCUCCUUUUCUUCACUUUGUGUUUAUCUCUGGCAGUUUGAGCCAAGAGAGGGCAUGGAGAAGUACAAUGACUAGAGAGCACUUCUGUUGAGCUUCAUUCAUUGACCCCUACCCCAGUGCUUUAUGAAUGUGUGCUGCAGAUGUCAUACAGCAUCACAGCUUCUUCUCUAAUUUAUGAGCCAUAAUUUUUUUUUUUUUGUAUUUUCAUUGUAUUACCUGCUUGGUUGCAAGAGGAUGAUGAGGAAGACUACUAUAGGAUAAAUUUGUUUUUAUAGAGCAAUUUCUCAUGGGUCACGAGGGAUAGUACCCCAUUUUCCUCAUUGAUAUCGGCUUGAUCGUCUGAGUCAGUGGGCUCGUUGUGGAAACAUAUGGAAUCCUUUCUGCUUUUUCUCAGGCUGCUUCUGUUGCAUGAAAUAAAGCCAGAGUUGGUUGUGAA
rnacentral:lncRNA from 1 species